rnacentral:rRNA from 1 species
UACGGAGGGUGCAAGCGUUAAUCGGAAUUACUGGGCGUAAAGCGUGCGCAGGCGGUCUGUUAAGACCGAUGUGAAAUCCCCGGGCUUAACCUGGGAACUGCAUUGGUGACUGGCAGGCUUUGAGUGUGGCAGAGGGAGGUAGAAUUCCACGUGUAGCAGUGAAAUGCGUAGAGAUGUGGAGGAAUACCGAUGGCGAAGGCAGCCUCCUGGGCCAACACUGGACGCUCAUGCACGAAAGCGUGGGGAGCAAACAGG